UACGAAGGGGGCUAGCGUUGCUCGGAAUCACUGGGCGUAAAGGGUGCGUAGGCGGGUCUUUAAGUCAGGGGUGAAAUCCUGGAGCUCAACUCCAGAACUGCCUUUGAUACUGGGGAUCUCGAGUCCGGGAGAGGUGAGUGGAACUGCGAGUGUAGAGGUGAAAUUCGGUAGAUAGUUCGGAAGAACACCAGUGGCGAAGGCGACUUACUGGACACA
rnacentral:rRNA from 1 species